rnacentral:lncRNA from 10 species
GAGAGGCUUGGGUAUCUCUCACUCCUCUAGCCAUGCUUCUCUGUGCCUCUGUUCUGGCCAGCAGAGGAAGCAGGGAGAAAGCCCUGGGAGGGGAAUUCAGGCCUCAUGCAGGGGCUGUGCUUACCUGUAGCCGGGGGCAGGAAAGGUGGACUGCUGCUUGCAGGGCAAGCCCAGUGCUCCCAUCGUACAGAUGGUACCAUGGAGGCCAGGGCAAGGCAGGGAAUGGAAAUGCUCCGUGAAUCUAGGUCAGUGUCCACUGCCUGUGCACUGAGUUAUCAGAAAGAAAAGCUGGAAGAGGCUGAGCACCAGGCAGGGGCAACUAUGGCAGGGUCCCAGGGCAUGAGGUGAGGAUGGGUAAAACAAGCUUCCUCAAGCCAGGUGAGGCCUGGAUCCCAAGAAAGGGAGCACUGGAAGCUGCUGCUGCUGCUGUUGCUGCUGGGCGGGGUGAGGUGGGAGGAAUGGGGUGGCUUCAGGCUUUGGGCUGGAUGAUUGGUGUCCCAGGGCCUGACAGGUCUGGGAAUCUUGGACUUUGGGCCUUGUGAUGGUUAAUACUGAGUGUCAACUUCUUUGGAUCGUGGGAUACAAAGUAUGAAUCCUGGGUGUGUUCUGUGUGGGUGUUGCCAAAAGAGAUUCACAUUUGAGUCAGUGGGCUGGGGAAGGCAGAUCCACCCUAAUCUGGUGGGCAUGAUCUAAUCAGUUUCCAGUGAAUAUAAAGCAGGCAGAAAAACGUGAAAAGGAGAGACGGGCCUAGCCUCCGAGCCUACAUCUUUCUCCCAUGCUGGAUGUUUCCGUCCCUUGAACAAUGGACUCCAAGUUCUUCAGUCUGGGGACUCGGACUGGUUCUCCUUGCUCCUCAGCCUAUUGUGGAACCUUGUGAUCGUGGAAGCUGGGCCAUUCUCGUCAUCUGUGGACUCCGUC